rnacentral:lncRNA from 1 species
AGUAUGUGUUAUGUUGACUCAAGCGUGAGUAUAACUAGUCUCAAGUCAUUUGGUGUUGGACACUAAGACAAACACAUAGGUGCUCGAAAGAGUACUCGAGUACACUGAACUACGAUCAAAAGAGAGUUCGAACAUACAUGUCAUGUAUGAACUCUAAGGUUGCAAUAUGCAAAGUAGUCCUUUGACUUGAGGCAUCAUAGAUGUCUAAUGGUUAAGUCCUUGAUCUUUGAUCAUGUCAACGGCAUUCCUUCGGAGUGUCCACGGCAUU